UAGGGAAUAUUGGUCAAUGGGCGCAAGCCUGAACCAGCCAUGCCGCGUGCAGGAAGACGGCCUUAUGGGUUGUAAACUGCUUUUAUACGGGAAGAAUUCCCCUGACGUGUCAGGGGUUGACGGUACUGUAUGAAUAAGGAUCGGCUAACUCCGUGCCAGCAGCCGCGGUAAUACGGAGGAUCCGAGCGUUAUCCGGAUUUAUUGGGUUUAAAGGGUGCGUAGGCGGAUUGAUAAGUCAGUGGUGAAAUCCCGCAGCUCAACUGCGAAAUUGCCAUUGAUACUAUCUAUCUUGAGUACAGUUGAGGUGGGUGGAAUUUGUCAUGUAGCGGUGAAAUGCUUAGAUAUGACAAAGAACACCGAUCGCGAAGGCAGCUCACCAAACUGUAACUGACGCUGAGGCACGAAAGCGUGGGGAUCAAACAGG
rnacentral:rRNA from 1 species